CUCUAGGCAAGUAAGUUUCUUCCCCCACACUGGUCACCCCCACAGCCAUUGUUAUGUCAACAAUAUAAUGUAAUAUGGUUGCUUCAGGGGCUGGGGGUAACUGGGCUGUCACUCAAGCAACACACUACUUGCUCUGGUUAGCUCAUUAGUGAGUGACCUUUGGUAGGCAGGGCCUUCUAGAGCGGGAGCCUUAAAGAUUCAUGGAGUUCUAGAGUAAGAAGAAUCCUGGUGAAUUCACAAAAGCACAGGCAGAAAAGCAGAACCUAUCUGAAAGUCAUGCCAUAGGAGGAUUGGUUUUUUUGUUUUUUUGUGGCAAAGACUCGCUUUCAAUGGAAGACACAUUCCUAGGUUACCCAUUUGCUGUAGCCCAGGCUCUUAGCUCUUGUCCUAUGCAACCAGGCUGGAAUGGUCUCAAAUGGGGCUUGAUAUGAUACUGAGAUGAAGGGCCCGGAAGCUGGAUCCCUGACAUUCCCCAGAAGCUGCGUCUAUUCCUUGCUGCUGUUAAUGGGCUGAACUUGUGUGUCCUCUGGGCUCAAAGACCAGUACACUCUCUAGCCUAUCACAAAGCAGAAUGAGUAAGAAAGCAUUCAGGACAGAGGCCACAGUUUAUCCACUAUGGUAUCCAUACAACAGACAGACAGCUUCACUCUUUAGGUACCCAUGUGGAACUAGGGAGAGGAAAUCAGGACAUCACAAAUGACUCCCCUGGGGAAUAUAAACAAUGGGGAUGUGCUUUCUAAUGUCAAGUCUGAUUUAUAGAGAUCCUACCUUUUCCCCCAAAUGAGAUCGCAUAAUCUUAACUUUAAUCACUUAUGGCUUUUGCCAAGGAUACUAGGGAUCCUGCAUUCCACACCCAGCACUGUACAAACUGCCAACAAGACCUUUCCUCUUCCUAAGAUUGUUGUUUAACAGGUAACAAUACAAGCCCAAGGAGCAGACCAUGCCAGGGCCGUGGUGCCUUAUCUUACUUUGUGAAGCCCGGUGACUUUGGGCAGAUACUCCACAGAGUAUGUCUUGUUCUUAUCACUGUCUGGGGUCACACGAGCCUAGAAGAGAAGAUGAUUAUCAGUUAGAGAAAGUGAAAGGUGUAAGAAUGAAGCAGAUUCACUUGAACCUUAAUGGUUUGGUGAUUGUUACAAGUGUAGAAGAUGUCAGACUUGGGGCUGGAGAGAUGGCUCAGUGGUUAAGAACACUGACUGCUCUUCCAGAGGUCCUGAGUUCAAUUCCCAGCAACCACAUGGCGGCUCGCAACCAUCUGUAAUGAGAUCUGAUGCCCUCUUCUGGUGUGUCUGUAGACAACUACAGUGUACUAAUAAAUAAUAAAUAAAUACAUCUUAAAAAAUGAAAAGAAAAAGCUGCCAGACUUGGUCUUAAUGAAGAAAAAUAAAACAAGAAGUGGGCAGAGACCCUGCUCCACAGGAAGCUAGACAAUAUGUUGGUGUAUUUAGAAGUUCAGAUCAUGCCUUGAUCAAGAUCAAAGACCCAGCGAUGGUCAGCAGAGGAAAAUCAGGACGCCCCAAUUAACAAGUCCUGUGUCUCAUGCCAACUCAUUUUCUUUAUCAAACACUGUGUUUGUGUUAAUCACUGACUACUGCGCUCAGGCAUAGCUCUGAGGCGAACUGCUUUAGCCACUGCAAGCCUCGAGGUCCUUGGCUGAGUGAUGUGAGGGUCUGAAGAAGCGGUGACUGAUCGAUCCAGUGACUCCAGACGGAGGUGGCAUCUCCGGCGUACCUCUUCCUUGUUUCCUUCUGGGUCCUCAACAAACACCAUCACAUCCCCUUGUCCAGCGCUGAUGGUAUCUACCGUGAAUUUGGCUGGCUGCUUCACCAUGUUUCCAGUGGACUCGAUUCCUGUCAUGAGUUAGCACAGUAAAUUUUGAAUCGGGCCAUGCCUGUCACCUAACAAACUGAAAGAUGGGACCCAAUCUUAUUAAUCCCGCGUGGGAGAUGAGAACAAACUGUCGCGGUAAGAAUAAUCAGAUCAGUUCAAACUCUUUAAUUUUCUUCAUGUUAUCUAUGCAAUAUCCAAAAUGAAUUAAAAUAUUCAAGAGUUUCAGGUAGUGGUCCACGUAACAGCGGAAACACACAUUGGUGGUAGCUAGCAGCAGGGUCUGACUUUGCAAGGAAAUGUGCAGAAGGAAGUUGCAAAUUUCUUUGAACAACACUGCAUACACUUUAAAAAAAAGUAUUCCCCUAUUAUUUGCAAUUAAUUUUUAGUUUUUAAGAUGGUUAAACAAUAGGGAGACUCAAAGACAAAUACCCCAUAUUCUCAUAUGUGGAAUCUAGACAAAUAAAUAUGAAAAGCAGAUAUAAGACUGUGGGAAAAGGAGUAUUCAGAAAGGGACAAGAGAGUAAUGGGGCAGAGCACGUUUCACUGGGUGGUCUCUUUAAUAUGUAGAACCUAGGUAUCAUCAAAAAAUCAGGUGAGGAGCUGGAGAGACGGCUCAGCUCUUCUGUGUAUGUACUACUGUUGCAAAGGACCUGGGUUCUAGUCCCAGCACCUUCAUGCUGGUGAACAACCAUUUAUAACUCCAGUCCCGAAAGAUUAGAAGACCACCUCUUCUGACUUCCUCAGGCACCAGGAUUUGGGGGAAGACACCAGUGGACACGGGGGAGAAAGGGAAGUACAAAUGGGAGAGGGGGUAGUAUGAACAAAGAAUGAUGAUUUCCAUGUAUGAAGACGACACAUGAGGGAGGGAGGGAGAAGCAUGCUGGGCCAGAAGCUUGACUGGUAGAUUGCUUACACAAAGCUACAGGCCAGAUCCCCAGUACCACCAGGGUACACAGCAAGUCUGACACCAGGCUACGUGAGACCCUAGAAGAAGAGGGGUAGGGUGGGGUGGUGGUGAUAAACCUACUACGCUGUAUACUUGCUGAAGAAAUUAAUUUUUAAAAAGGUAAUUGAGCUAAUUAGAGAGAGCCUCCCCCCCCGCCCCGUACAGGCAGGUGUUAAGAAAUGAUAUUCUCUCAUCAGAAUACCUGAAAAAGAGCUGCUCACCCAUGUUAAUUCUGGCAGCAUUCAAAAUACCUAAGAAACAGAUUCUGCCUAGGAGCCCACUCACAGACAGAAACAAAAACAAUGUGGUAUAUAUAGUCAUAGUGGAAUUAUAUUCAGUUAUAAAGAAAAAUAAAAUCCAACUAUUUGGCGUUAAAAAGAACAGAUGAGGAGAACAUCACGUAGAUCAAAAUAAACCAGAAGCAGAAAGGUUAAGUACUGUGUGUUCUUUCUCAGAUGUGGGAGUUAGAAAGUCAACCUGAAUGUAGAAACUACUUACUUGGGAUUAGGAAGGUGGGGCUGGUUGGACAAAAAGAGCUAGGUUGGGUUUGAACGAUGUAAAAUUCAGACACACAAGUAAUCUUACCCUGAACCUACUAAAACACUCAAUCACUGUUAAAAAUGUAACAAUGGACCGGAGAGAUGGUUCCAUGGUUAAGAGCACUUCCUGUUCUACAGGGCCUGAUUUCAGUGCCCCCAGCACCCACAUGAGAUGGUUCCCAACCUUCUAUAGCUCAGGCUCCAAGGGACCCAAAAUGUCCUCUUCUGGCCUCUGCAGGCACCAGCACUCAUGUGCACACGCCCACAGAAGGACAGGAAUAAAAACACAAGAAAUCAACUAUUACGCUGAGCGUGCAAAGCGCUCACCCAGCUCCCUCCAGGGUAACAAUGGUGGCAAAGGGACGAUACUUAUCAUGACCAGAGUUCUAAAAAUGAUAUGGUGAAGACACAGAGCAUUUCAUAACCACAAGGACCCCUCCUAUUGCCCUUUCAGGAGUCCCACCCGCUUCCCUUCUUCCCCACCCUCUUCUUAUCCCUGACAACCACUAAUCUGUUCUCCGUCUCUGUAAUUUUACCAUUUCAAGAAUGUUUCGUAAGUGGAAUCAUGUAUUAUGCAACCUUAUGGUACUGGUCCUUCUCACUGAGAAUCCCGUCCACUCACUCAGGCUGCUGCUGCUUUUUCGCCGGUGAGAAAUGUCCUAUGCUAUGCGACUGUUUGCCCCCGGCUCUCCAACCGAGGGAUGUCUGGGUUAUAUCUAGCUGUCUUAGCAUUUCCAAAGCUGCUACAUUCAGAUAUAGGUUUUGUGAGAAUUUAUGUCAAGCGUGACGUUUUAAUGUCUGUAUCUUCCUCCUAACAUGAUUUCUCACACGGAGUCCCUAAAAUGCCCUGUGAUGUCCAAGUGGUCCCGAUGUGAGAAUGACCAGUGCGUGACACAUGGUUCCUAAGUUUCCUGGAAUUUCCUGGGUUGAUAAGCUUUUGGUGGGGAAUCUCAGUUAGGACCUGUCACCAGCAGAAAGCCAGGCUGGAGAAUCUAGAAGCUUCUGCGUUCUUCCAGGAGUGUGGCCCAUCCCAACUCUCAGGACCCUUGAACCUUGGGAUAUAGAGUACUUUUCGUCCUGGAAUAGGACACUUGGUUACUUCCUGAGCUCGAGUUACUAGCUAGCCUAAGCAGGUCAUGGCAACCUCUGAUUUGGAGCCCGGUAAGAUGGAAAUUGUAGAUAGCCCCAGACCCACUGCUUGAACCAGUGUCUAGUGCGGAUUAUAGAGACUGAGGCUUUGACCUGCAGAUACUCAGCAAGUGCCAGGCAGACAGCUGUGGGAUGAACCGAUCGAGUGUGAGCCGUUCAGGGGCCAUUCACAGAGACCGGGAAAGGCCAUCUCAGUGGGAAAACCUUCUGAACUUGGUGGGCAGAAGGGGACCAGCAGCUGUGGCUGAGAUAGACCGGUGCCAGCCAAUGAGAGCGACUGCUGGUACGCACAAGAUUUACACGUUUACUGGUAGGUUUUACCAUUGCUGUUGUGUGAAAUUGGGAACAUGGGUUCUUUAAUGUAAAUUAGAAUGACACAGAACGUCUGGACCACUUUACAUCAGCAACGUGGGGGUCCAGGAAAGGUUUCUCCAUAUACAAAUAUAGGCACACACAAACAGAUAUAUAUCUAAGACUUGAAAGUUUGGGGGUUUUGUUUGUUUGAUUUUGUGUUUCCUUUUUAAUUUCGAUGAAGUUGUGAUUUUUUUUUCUUCUUGUGCUUUUGGUGUCAAACCUCAGAAUUCUUUCUUUCCCUAAACCCUAGAUUUCAAAUUCUUAUGGUUUUCCCCUUGAAGUGUUUUAGUUGCAUGUCGUAAGUGAUUCAGCCUGAGCUGAUUUGUGUUAGGUAUGAUUCUAUUUUUUUUUUAAAGUUGUUAUUUUCUGUGUAUGGGUGUUUUUUUCUGGUAUUUCUGUGUACCACAUGUGUGUCUGGUUACCCAUGGAGGCCAGAAGAAAGCACUGGAUCCCUUUAGACACUUUAGUCACUGUGUAGGCACUGGGAAUUGAACCCCGAUCCCCUAGUAGCACAACCGAUAUUCUUAACCACUAACCAUCUCUGGCCUCUUGGGUAUAAUUUUUUGUUGGUUUUUUUUUACAUGUGGCUCUGGCGGUCCUGGAACUCAGGGAUCCACCUGUCUCUUGUCCUAGAAUCUCCCACCAAUGUCAGUAUGGAUCUGAAGCAGUACUUCAAGUACAGUAGACUGACCCCCUCCAUUCUUUCAAAACCCAAGUACUAGAGUUCCUUUGCCUUUCUUCUUUUGAUAUAUUUUGUUGACACCUACAAAAAAAAAUUUUGUGCUAGGAAUUGACCUCAUGUGUGCUAGGGACAUAAACUGAGGCUAAGUUCAUUGCCAAAACUUCAAUUGCAAUUACGUCAGUGUGGCAAUUCAGGGGGACCAAUGCCUUUGUUCCAGUCUCUCUUCUUACUCAGGCCUUUUGUUUAGCCUUUAGAUUAUAAAUCCCGUGUGUGUUUUAUUACACCCACACCUACUCCCUUUUCCUUCUGUGUGACAGUAAAUGGUGUGCCAUUUUAAAUUCCAGGAUCCACAUGUGUAUUUUACCAUGUAAAGCUAGAAUAGAUUCUGGCAUGCCACUUUUGUGCCUAAGAAAGCUUUAUUUGUCUUUGGGACCUUUUUUAUUUUAUUUUAUAUUUUCUAGCCUGGCUGGCCCUGAAAUCACAGGAACCUGCCUUCCUUUCCUUUCCCCGAGGCAUUUCUCACUUUUAAUUGUUUGAGAAAGGUCAGUACGAACCAGCACGACGUCCGUACUCGGACAGUUUUCUUCCUGACUUUGCUGCUGUACCCCCACUUCCUAGCAGAUAUCACCAUUCAAGCCUCCCUUAAAUAUGUUGCAAAGAAAUGCAGAGAGCAGGCGCCACCCUGGUCCAGAUCUCGGUUAUCUGUGAGAGGCUGGGUGUGUUCUAAGAUGCUGGGCAGAAAUUCUGUGGCAGUUACUCUACACUGACUUGAGGAAGUCUCUCCUUCCCCUUUUUGGAGUUUUAUCGUGGAUGACAGUUGAAUUUUGUCACUUGCUUUUUUUAUCGUCAGUAUUACCAACCAGGCUUCUUUUUUUGUUUUUGUUUUUUCUUUUUCACUAACCUGUUACUACAAUCUGGUUGAUUGUAUUGACAAGUUUCCUAAUAGUGGACCAGCCUUACACUGGUUAAAAGAAACCCCACUUAGUCACAAUGCACAAUUCAUUUUAUAUUUAUAUAUAUGAUAUAUAUAUAUGGUGUAUAUGUAUAGUAUAUAUGAGAUAUCUAGUACACGUUACUAUUUCAUGAUGUGUUUUUAUAUCUACAGUCCACUGGUCUCUGUGUUUUGUUUUGCUAUUGGCUUUGGUGUUUCAUGAAGUGAGGGUGCUACUUCUGUAGGUCAGUUUUGUCAACUUGACACAAGCUGGAGUCACUGGGAAGGGGGAACCUCAAUUGAGGAAUUGCCUACCUAGACCUGGCCUCCAAGCAUGUUUGUGGAUUAUGUUGGGUAAUGACUUAAGUGGGAGGACCGAGCCUGCUGUGAGUGGUGCCAGCCCUGGGCAAGUAAUGGUGGGUUGUAGAGGAAAGCAGGCUGGACAAGAGCAAGCCAGUAAGCAGCACGUCGCCCCUCCAUGGCCUCUGCUUCAGCUCCUGCUGGGGGUGGUCGUGGGGCACUCUAGCUUGAGGUCCUACUCAGGCUUCCCUCAAAAUGGCCUGCAAAGUAUUGACUGGAAUAAACCCUCCCCCCACCCCCACAACAAGCUGCUUCUGGGUAUUUACCACAGCAGCAGGAAACAAAACAGAACAGCAAGGGCUCUCAUCCUUCAUUUAAGACAAUAAAAAUCUGUUUCAAUUCUUCGCUGAGUGUUUGGGAGAAUUCCCUGGUGAAAUUACCCAUCCCCGGAGGUUUACAGGGGCCCCUUCAAUUUUACAAAUUAAAUGUCCCAAAUGUUUAUAGGCUCAUCCAGGUUAGUCCGCUGUAGUUAACACAUCACUCUGCCACACAAUUUUCUUCCUGUUAUUUCAAGAUUUCUUCCUUCCUAUGUUUCCUUUAAAAGGCUAUCCUUUCAGGAUGGGCUUCUAGUGACAAAUUCUCUUUCUUUUCCUCUGUCUGAAAGUAUAGGGACUUCCCCUGGGUAAAAUGAUUCUAAUUGACAAUUUUUUCUUAACCCUCUCGGAAUGCAGUGCUCCUUCCUUCUGACUUCCAUGGUUUUAAUGAGAAAGCCGACAUUCUGGUAUUUCCUUUGGGCAAGCUUUCAGCUAUCUCCCAACAUGAUGCUUAAAUGUCUGCCCAUGGUCCUCCUAGUCAGAUGCAGAAGCAGAUGCCUGCAAUCCCAGCAUCUGGGGGUGAUGGCAAAGGGAUCCAGGCUGCUCGAGAGAGACGUAACACAACUUACCUCUCAUUGCCUUAUAUAUUCAGAUUUACCUUCUCCUCAAAGAGCGCUAUUACACACACUCUCUCCUCUCUCAGACGGGGUGCUUUUGCCCUGCUAGCUUACAGUCUCCAUGGCAAGACAGUUCUUUCAAUAGUUUUAGCCCUGCUGUCUUCUCACCUCCUCCCAUGUCUCCUCUAAUGUGGUCGUUCCCACUUUUGUUUUAGUUCCCACAGGUCCCGAGGGACUCUGUCCAUUUUUCUCUUUUCCUGUCUUUCAUUUAGACUCCUAGGUCAGUUCUCCUGUUUCAUGUGCUGUGAACUGAUUCUUCUGUCUUCCCACUCUGCUACUGAAUGCAUCGUAGCAGUCAUUCCAGGUUUCGUUCCUUUUCCUUUUUCAACUUUCUUUAUUUCCCCCAGUUCUAAGAUCUUCAACUGGCUCUAUAUGUCUUGGCUUCUGUCUGGGAAUUCUAUUUCUCUGCUGUGACUGGUUCUUUGUUUGUUCUCAUUUAUUUCAAGAGUAUCAUAAUUGUUGUUGAAGCCUUUUUUAGAUAUGGGCACAGUAUUAGUUAUUUCUGUCAUGGCCGUGACCGAAUGCCUGACAAGAAAGCAUUUACAGUUCAGGAGUCUGUCGGUGGCAGGAGCUGGCUGGUUAUCGGGCCACAUUAUAUCCACAGUUAAGAAACCCAGUGGAAACUGCCACUCAGCCCACUUCCUUUUUAUUCUCUCUUUAUCUCUUCAUCUGAGAUCCCAGGCCAUGGAAUAGAUUGGAAUAGGUUUUCACACCCCUAUUAACCCAAUUUAGAAAAUCUCACACAGACUGUGUCACAAGGUGGUCUGCUAGGUGAUUCCAGACCCUGUCAAAUAUCAACCAUCAUAGACACUCUAAAAUGGCUGGCAGGUAAUCCUUACAUCUCUGUCAACCCACUACUGGAACCGACCAUCGUUUCCGUUUGGUAUGAGAUAUCGGGUUCACGGUGUGACAGUGACUUUUAAAGUUGGAACUUGGACAGUUUGGGUUUUGUGUUAUGGGACUCUGGACCUUAGGUCAACUUCCUGCCAGCGGGGGAGGAAGUCCAGGAUUUCCAUUCCACUCCCACUAGUACCUGAGGUUUGAAUUAGAGGGGCUUCCAUUUGUAACAGCUAUUGUGGGAGUAUCAGCUCUACCUCUAGCAGUCAGAAGAGGAGCACCUCAUUACUCCUUACCCAGCCUCUGCUGACAUCACCACUACCUUAAAACUAGACUAGACAAAGUCUUGGCCCUGCACUUACUUUUGCUGAUUGAUAUAUGAGGAGGGCACAGUUUUUUCCUAUGACGUUUGGCUGAACAUAGAGCACGUACUGUUCUGCCUCAGGGUGGCAGGGAUAUGGCUCAACGAUAGAACAUCUGUCUUAGCUUUCAUAAGGAUAUUUCGGCAUGACCCCGCCCCUGCUGCCACACACACACACACACACACACACACACACACACACACACACACACACACAAUGUAAAAUUAAUGUCUCACUCGGACUUGAAGGAAAGAAGGGGGUCUAGCAAUUAGAAAAUGGACUUCUAUAUUUUAUCUUCUAUGCUUUUUAUUUUGCUUAUAUAAUGAUCGCGUUACUAACAACACUUCAAUACACUCGCCUACAACGUUUCUAAGCACCUACUCCAUCUGACUCUAGCGAUCUGAAAAGAAAAACUCACCUGCACGUUGUCAGUGGCUCAGGUAAGUCAGUGUCAGGCUCUCUAGCUAACCAGGGUUGUUCAGGAAGCUGAGUCGAAGGCCCACAGUCUACAAAACUCCAGUAGAGCCAUGCUCACCAUGAGGAACUGAUUACUGAGACUUAGGGUCCUGUAAGGCUCUGUUAAGUGCUUCAUACAGAAUAGGGUUUGGAGAAGGGUCUGCUUAGCUAGUGGACAGAUGUGUUCAAUGAUGCUAAUCCCACAAGGGAGCCUUGCACAAAGACCCCAAACCUUCUCAUCCCACUCACACAGGCAACUUAGAGCUCGAUGGAUGGAUGUGCAAGUGCUGACUGGCCUCAACCGGAAUCUACCUACAUACAAAGAAUAAAACUCCCUUUUAGAAACCAUAAUUAUUAUUAAUUUUUUCUCUAAUCCUAAUCUGAGUAGCAGAAACAUACCAAAACCGGACUGACUUUAUGUGUCUCCCAGCCCCACUUAUGUGGCCUUGUAUUGUGUGGCCCCAUCACCCAAAGGGACUAUAUUGCCUUCUGUUGUGGUUUGCCCUGAAGUUAUCUGUAUUUUGAUGCUAAUUCCACUGCCCGAAGGAUAGCUGCCUAGUCACAGUACUCAGGAAUCAGGUGACUUCACCAGAACCUUUUCCCCAUUGAAUUUGUAAAGUACAGGUGAGGGGCAGGUACAGGAUAGAAGGAGGCCUUCUCAUUGGAGGAGAAGGAAGGAUGGGCAGGAGAGAAGUUUGAAGGAAGAGGAGGAGACUAGAGGAGAGAAGGAGAGACAGAGAGAGGGGGGAGAAGCCAUGGCAGGUGAUGUUAAGAUUCUGCUCUGUGUAUUUACAGGUUGUUAUCAAUGUUCUUAAGGGAUGGGUGGUACUGGGCUUUGUAUGUUUAAGUGGGCAAUUAUAUCUUACCAAUUGGGUCAAAGAUUAUUGUGUUGUGUGGUUUUUUUUUUUUGGUUCUUUUUUUCGGAGCUGGGGACCGAACCCAGGGCCUUGCGCUUCCUAGGUAAGCGCUCUACCACUGAGCUAAAUCCCCAGCCCCGUGUUGUGUGUUCUUUUAUGCGAGUGUUUGAGUGUAGGAAAGUGUGCGGCUGGGAUGUGUUUCCGCCCAGAUAUCUAGCGGCACCGCGGUGCGGACCCAGUGGGGUAAAAGACCAACUUUACUUUUUAUUUUUAUGUUUUUACAACAACAGCCUUCCUAUUUUGAAAGGAGAGACGUUAAGCAUAGAAUCGCAGUAUGGCCCAGCAAUUUCA